rnacentral:rRNA from 1 species
UACGUAGGGACCAAGCGUUGUUCGGAUUUACUGGGCGUAAAGGGCGCGUAGGCGGCAAAUCAAGUCAUCUGUGAAAUCUCCGGGCUUAACUCGGAACGGUCAGAUGAUACUGCUUUGCUAGAGUGCGGAAGGGGCAAUCGGAAUUCUCGGUGUAGCGGUGAAAUGCGUAGAUAUCGAGAGGAACACCAGAGGUGAAGACGGGUUGCUGGGCCGACACGUGACGCUGAGGCGCGAAAGCCAGGGGAGCAAACGGG